GAUGAACGCUAGCGGCAGGCCUAAUACAUGCAAGACGAACGGUAAGUUGAGUAGCAAUACUUAGCCAAGAGUGUCGUACGGGUGCGUAACACGUAUGCAACCUACCCUAUACAGGAGGAUAGCCUAGGGAAACCUGGAUUAACCCUUCAUAGUAUUAUUGGAUGGCAUCAUUUGAUAAUUAAAACUGAGGUGGUAUAGGAUGGGCAUGCGUCUGAUUAGUUAGUUGGCGGGGUAAUGGCCCACCAAGACGAUGAUCAGUAGGGGUUCUGAGAGGAAGAUCCCCCACACUGGCACUGAGAUACGGGCCAGACUCCUACGGGAGGCAGCAGUAGGGAAUAUUGGUCAAUGGAUGCAAGUCUGAACCAGCCAUGCCGCGUGCAGGAAGAAGGCCUUUCUGGGGUUGUAAACUGCUUUUGCCAGGGGAUAAAAUUUCCAUGCGUGGAAAACUGAAGGUACCUGGUGAAUAAGCCACGGCUAAACUACGUGCCAGCAGCCGCGGUAAUC
rnacentral:rRNA from 1 species